rnacentral:rRNA from 1 species
GUACACUAAGCGGCGAACGGGUGAGUAACACGUGGGUAACCUGCCCUGUACUCUGGGAUAAGCCUGGGAAACUAGGUCUAAUACCGGAUAUGACCUGCCACUGCAUGGUGGUGGGUGGAAAGUUCCGGCGGUACGGGAUGGACCCGCGGCCUAUCAGCUUGUUGGUGGGGUAAUGGCCUACCAAGGCGACGACGGGUAGCCGGCCUGAGAGGGUGACCGGCCACACUGGGACUGAGACACGGCCCAGACUCCUACGGGAGGCAGCAGUGGGGAAUAUUGCACAAUGGGCGAAAGCCUGAUGCAGCGACGCCGCGUGAGGGAUGACGGCCUUCGGGUUGUAAACCUCUUUCAGCGGGGACGAAGGGCAACUGACGGUACCCGCAGAAGAAGCACCGGCUAACUACGUGCCAGCAGCCGCGGUAAUACGUAGGGUGCGAGCGUUGUCCGGAAUUAUUGGGCGUAAAGAGCUCGUAGGCGGUUUGUUGCGUCGGCUGUGAAAACUUCACGCUUAACGUGGAGCCUGCAGUCGAUACGGGCAGACUUGAGUUCGGCAGGGGAGACUGGAAUUCCUGGUGUAGCGGUGAAAUGCGCAGAUAUCAGGAGGAACACCGGUGGCGAAGGCGGGUCUCUGGGCCGAUACUGACGCUGAGGAGCGAAAGCGUGGGGAGCGAACAGGAUUAGAUACCCUGGUAGUCCACGCCGUAAACGGUGGGUGCUAGGUGUG